UGGGGAAUAUUGGACAAUGGGGGCAACCCUGAUCCAGCAAUGCCGCGUGUGUGAAGAAGGUCUUCGGAUUGUAAAGCACUUUCGACGGGGACGAUGACGACGGUACCCGUAGAAGAAGCCCCGGCUAACUUCGUGCCAGCAGCCGCGGUAAUACGAAGGGGGCUAGCGUUGCUCGGAAUGACUGGGCGUAAAGGGCGUGUAGGCGGUUUACACAGUCAGAUGUGAAAUCCCCGGGCUUAACCUGGGAGCUGCAUUUGAUACGUGUAGACUAGAGUGUGAGAGAGGGUUGUGGAAUUCCCAGUGUAGAGGUGAAAUUCGUAGAUCAUUGGGAAGAACACCGGUGGCGAAGGCGGCAACCUGGCUCAUGACUGACGCUGAGGCGCGAAAGCGUGGGGAGCAAACAGGAUUAGAUACCCUGGUAGUCCACGCUGUAAACGAUGUGUGCUAGAUGUUGGGUAACUUUGGU
rnacentral:rRNA from 1 species